GUUUUUUUUUAAUUGUUAGUCAGUUAUUCAUUCAAGGAAAAACAAUCAACCGCAAUAUUUAUUUGCCAAGGAAUGAAUGAAAACUAAGCUUUUUUUACCAAAAUACUGAGUGUGUAACCCUUGAAAUUGAGGAGUUUGUAACUCUUUAUUUCUGGGUGAAUUGUCCAAUUACCAGAUCCUUCACACUCAGCACCUCACCAAUUUCAUGAUAAUCCUACAUUUUCCUCAACAACCAUUUAGUUUUAGCAU
rnacentral:misc_RNA from 1 species